rnacentral:rRNA from 1 species
UGCCAGCCUCCGCUGUACUCCUGAUUGUGCAAUCGUUGUUCGGAAUUAUUGGGCGUAAAGCGCGUGUAGGCGGUUCGUUAAGUCUGAUGUGAAAGCCCGGGGCUCAACCCCGGAAGUGCAUUGGAAACUGGCGAACUUGAGUACGGGAGAGGAAAGUGGAAUUCCGAGUGUAGGAGUGAAAUCCGUAGAUAUUCGGUGGAACACCAGUGGCGAAGGCGACUAACUGGACUGAUACUGACGCUGAGGUGCGAAAGUGUGGGGAGCAAACAGGAUUAGAUA